rnacentral:tRNA from 1 species
GACCAUGUAGCUCAGCUGGUAGAGCGGCCUCGCAAAAGGCGCGCCGGGGGUUCGAUUCCCUCCAUGGAUGCCG